AUUGAACGCUGGCGGCAUGCCUUACACAUGCAAGUCGAACGGCAGCACGGGUGCUUGCACCUGGUGGCGAGUGGCGAACGGGUGAGUAAUACAUCGGAACGUACCUUAUCGUGGGGGAUAACGCAGCGAAAGCUGUGCUAAUACCGCAUACGCCCUGAGGGGGAAAGCGGGGGAUCGAAAGACCUCGCGCGAUUAGAGCGGCCGAUGCCUGAUUAGCUUGUUGGUGGGGUAAAAGCCCACCAAGGCGACGAUCAGUAGCUGGUCUGAGAGGACGAUCAGCCACACUGGGACUGAGAACCGGCCCAGACUCCUACGGGAGGCAGCAGUGGGGAAUUUUGGACAAUGGGGGCAACCCCGAUCCAGCAAUGCCGCGUGAGUGAAGAAGGCCUUCGGGUUGAAAAGCUCUUUUGUCAGGGAAGAAACACCGGCUCUAACACAGUCCGGGAAUGACGGUACCUGAAGAAUAAGCACCGGCUAACUACGUGCCAGCAGCCGCCGUAA
rnacentral:rRNA from 1 species